GAGUCUUGGAUGAACACGAGGCAGAUGCAGGAAUAAGGACAAAUAAGGGAACACCACAUCCGCUUCAUACCUGAUCCAGGCAAGCCCAGACUCCCCUGCCACGUAGGAAGCUAUGUCUAAUGUCACACAGGAGUGACCCUGAUGAGGUCAACAGCAGCAAUGUCAUCACAGGCAGAUCUACCUAUCAGGGACCAGGGACUCUCUGAACUCCCACUUCUCAACCCAGAGAUCAGAGCCUGGAACAGACAGGUGCCUCGUUCUCAUUCUGGCCCUGCCAUGGCUCUCAGGCUUCUCCACUGUGUGGCCCUUUGUCUCCUUGGAGUAGGUCACAUGUGUGCCAUGGUCACCCAGAACCUGAAAUACCAGAUUACCAGGAAGGGAAAACUAGUGACACUGAGUUGUUUUCAGAAUUUGAACCAUGAGCUCAUGUACUGGUACCAGCAAAAGCCGAGCUAAGCCCCAAAGCUGCUGUUCUCCCACUAUGAUAAAGAAUUUAACAAUGAAACAGACACCUCCAACAACUUCCUACCCAGCCGGCCUAACACUUCCUUCUGUUCUCUUAGCAUCUGCUCCCCAGGUGUGGGGGACUCAGCAGUGUAUCUCUGUGCCAGC